rnacentral:rRNA from 3 species
GACGAACGCUGUCGGCGCGCCUAACACAUGCAAGUCGAACGAGUGGCGGACGGGUGAGUAACGCGUGAGUAACCUGCCUUUCAGAGGGGGAUAACGUCUGGAAACGGACGCUAAUACCGCAUAACCAAAGCCGCUGAAAGAUGGACUCGCGUCCAAUUAGCUAGUUGGUGAGGUAACGGCCCACCAAGGCGACGAUUGGUAGCCGGACUGAGAGGUUGAACGGCCACAUUGGGACUGAGACACGGCCCAGACUCCUACGGGAGGCAGCAGUGGGGAAUAUUGCACAAUGGGGGAAACCCUGAUGCAGCGACGCCGAGUGAGGGAAGAAGGUUUUCGGAUUGUAAACCUCUGUCCUUGGUGAAGAUGACGGUAACCAAGGAGGAAGCUACGGCUAACUACGUGCCAGCAGCCGCGGUAAUACGUAGGUAGCGAGCGUUGUCCGGAAUUACUGGGUGUAAAGGGAGCGUAGGCGGGAUUGCAAGUUGAAUGUUAAAUCUAUGGGCUCAACCCAUAGCCGCGUUCAAAACUGCAGUUCUUGAGUGAAGUAGAGGCAGGCGGAAUUCCUAGUGUAGCGGUGAAAUGCGUAAAUAUUAGGAGGAACACCAGUGGCGAAGGCGGCCUGCUGGGCUUACUGACGCUGAGGCUCGAAAGCGUGGGUAGCAAACAGGAUUAGAUACCCUGGUAGUCCACGCUGUAAACGAUGAUUACUAGGUGUGGGGGCUUCCGUGCCGGAGUUAACACAAUAAGUAAUCCACCUGGGGAGUACGACCGCAAGGUUGAAACUCAAAGGAAUUGACGGGGGCCCGCACAAGCAGUGGAGUAUGUGGUUUAAUUCGAAGCAACGCGAAGAACCUUACCAGGUCUUGACAUCGACAGGUGGUGCAUGGUUGUCGUCAGCUCGUGUCGUGAGAUGUUGGGUUAAGUCCCGCAACGAGCGCAACCCUUACGUUUAGUUGCUACAGCACUCUAGACGGACUGCCGUUGACAAAACGGAGGAAGGUGGGGAUGACGUCAAAUCAUCAUGCCCCUUAUGACCUGGGCUACACACGUACUACAAUGGCUAUCAGAGGGAAGCAAGAUGGUGACAUGGAGCAAACCCCUAUAGUCUCAGUUCGGAUGCAGGCUGCAACCCGCCUGCAGAAGCCGGAAUUGCUAGUAAUCGCGGAUCAGCAUGCCGCGGUGAAUACGUUCCCGGGCCUUGUACACACCGCCCGUCACACCAUGAGAGUUGGCAACACCCGAAGCCGAUGUCUAGGACGUCGUCGAAGGUGGGGUUGAUGAUUGGGGUGAAGUCGUAACAAGGUAGCCGUAUCGGAAGG